rnacentral:rRNA from 1 species
CCUACGGGCGGCAGCAGUGGGGAAUAUUGCACAAUGGGCGCAAGCCUGAUGCAGCCAUGCCGCGUGUGUGAAGAAGGCCUUCGGGUUGUAAAGCACUUUCAGCGGGGAGGAAGGCGUUAAGGUUAAUAACCUUGGCGAUUGACGUUACCCGCAGAAGAAGCACCGGCUAACUCCGUGCCAGCAGCCGCGGUAAUACGGAGGGUGCAAGCGUUAAUCGGAAUUACUGGGCGUAAAGCGCACGCAGGCGGUCUGUCAAGUCGGAUGUGAAGUCCCCGGGCUCAACCUGGGAGCUGCAUUCGAAACUGGCAGGCUAGAGUCUUGUAGAGGGGAGUAGAAUUCCAGGUGUAGCGGUGAAAUGCGUAGAGAUCUGGAGGAAUACCGGUGGCGAAGGCGGCCCCCUGGACAAAGACUGACGCUCAGGUGCGAAAGCGUGGGGAGCAAACAGGAUUAGAUACCCGUGUAGUC